GGCCUUAGGAAGAGCCCAGAAGAUGAGGACAUUGGACACUGAACUAUUUACACGGAAGUUGAACAAGCCACAAGGAGCAAGCCAAUAAACAGCAUUUCUCCAUGGCCUCUGAAUCGGAUCCUGCCUGCAGAUCCAAGCCGUUUGAGUUCCUGUGCUGACUUCCUUGGAUGAUGAACAGUAAUAUGAACGUG